rnacentral:rRNA from 1 species
CCUGAAAGCAUCUAAGCGGGAAGCGCGCCUCAAGAUGAGAUCUCCCGGGGCACAAGCCCCCUGAAGGAACCAUGUAGACUACGUGGUUGAUAGGUCAGGUGUGUAAGUACAGCAAUGUAUUGAGCUAACUGAUACUAAUGAUCCGUGCGGCUUGACCAU